rnacentral:rRNA from 1 species
UGGGGAAUAUUGGACAAUGGGGGGAACCCUGAUCCAGCCAUGCCGCGUGUGUGAAGAAGGCCUUAUGGUUGUAAAGCACUUUAAGCGAGGAGGAGGGUACUGGUAUUAAUACUACCAGGUACUGGACGUUACUCGCAGAAUAAGCACCGGCUAACUCUGUGCCAGCAGCCGCGGUAAUACAGAGGGUGCGAGCAUUAAUCGGAUUUACUGGGCGUAAAGCGUGCGUAGGCGGCUAAUUGAGUCGGAUGUGAAAUCCCCGAGCUUAACUUGGGAAUUGCAUUCGAUACUGGUUAGCUAGAGUGUGGGAGAGGAUGGUAGAAUUCCAGGUGUAGCGGUGAAAUGCGUAGAGAUCUGGAGGAAUACCGAUGGCGAAGGCAGCCAUCUGGCCUAACACUGACGCUGAGGUACGAAAGCAUGGGGAGCAAACAGG